rnacentral:rRNA from 1 species
AUUGAACGCUGGCGGCAGGCCUAACACAUGCAAGUCGAGCGGAUGACGGGAGCUUGCUCCUUGAUUCAGCGGCGGACGGGUGAGUAAUGCCUAGGAAUCUACCUGGUAGUGGGGGACAACGUUUCGAAAGGAACGCUAAUACCGCAUACGUCCUACGGGAGAAAGCAGGGGACCUUCGGGCCUUGCGCUAUCAGAUGAGCCUAGGUCGGAUUAGCUAGUUGGUGUGGUAAUGGCUCACCAAGGCGACGAUCCGUAACUGGUCUGAGAGGAUGAUCAGUCACACUGGACCUGAGACACGGUCCAGACUCCUACGGGAGGCAGCAGUGGGGAAUAUUGGACAAUGGGCGAAAGCCGGAUCCGGCCAUGCCGCGUGUGUGAAGAAGGUCUUCGGAUUGUAAAGCACUUUAAGUUGGGAGGAAGGGCAGUAAGUUAAUACCUUGCUGUUUUGACGUUACCGACAGAAUAAGCACCGGCUAACUCUGUGCCAGCCGCCGCCGUAA